rnacentral:rRNA from 1 species
GACAGAGGGUGCAAACGUUGUUCGGAAUUACUGGGCGUAAAGCGCGUGUAGGCGGCCCUGCAAGUCGGAUGUGAAAUCCCACGGCUCAACCGUGGAAGUGCAUUCGAAACUGCAGGGCUAGAGUCCUGGAGAGGAAGGUGGAAUGCUUGGUGUAGAGGUGAAAUUCGUAGAUAUCAAGCGGAACACCGGUGGUGAAGGCGGCCUUCUGGACAGUGACUGACGCUGAGACGCGAAAGCGUGGGGAGCAAACAGG